rnacentral:rRNA from 1 species
UGGUUCAUUCAAAUUUCCGCCCUAUCAACUUUCGAUGGUAGGAUAGUAGCCUACCAUGGUGGCAACGGGUAACGGGGAAUUAGGGUUCGAUUCCGGAGAGGGAGCCUGAGAAA